CCGUCGAUAGCUCAGUUGGCAGAGCGGUGGACUGUAGCGGAAUCUAUAGCAGUUAUCCAUAGGUCGCUGGUUCGACUCCGGCUCGACGGA
rnacentral:tRNA from 1 species